UCUAUCUCCUCCAUUUUUCACUCCUCAAAUAACGUCAUAUUUUUUCUCCCGUAAUCUUAUUAGUUUAAUUUUAAACUUGAGUUUCAAGAUAUUUCACUCUCCAGCCAAACGAUUUUUCAUUCCUUUUGGGUUGAACUGAGAAUAGAUCGAAGAAAUUGCAUUGAUCCCCUGCAAUUGCCAAUGUGAAUAUUGAGAAGGAUUCGGAGCGAACUGACUGAUGCUUAUAAGGACAAGGAAACUGGAAGUGUGUUGGAACCAAAACAACCUUUACUGGUUAAAUAUGUACAAGAAAUUAUUCACCAAGGAAGCGACAUAUUGGACUAUGAUUGUGGCCGCAUUUGUUGAAUUUCUUAGCGAUGAAAUUUUAAUAAUCUAAUAAUUUUGAUCUGAUUAUCUCCGGUCAAUAUACGCAACAUAGCUAUGAAAAUAUGACAAUGUAAAACCCGACGCUUGAUAUGUUACUGAUGAUGAUGAUCCAUUAAAGUCUAGGGGUCAUUUCACACCACCAGACCAUGAUGUGAUAGUUAAUCUGGAAUAAUGUUUAUUUAUCAAUAGAUAAAUGGUAUUUUUUUUACUAUGUUCAAGAUAAGUUAACAUAAGUGUUGGGUGCAUGUCUUUAAAAAAAAAAAUUGUCUGA